CCUACGGGAGGCAGCAGUGAGGAAUAUUGGUCAAUGGACGCAAGUCUGAACCAGCCAUGCCGCGUGCAGGAAGACGGCUCUAUGCGUUGUAAACUGCUUUUGUCCUGGGGUAAACUCAGAUACGCGUAUCUGUCUGAAAGUAUCGUACGAAUCCGGCUCGGCUAACUCCGUGCCAGCAGCCGCGGUAAUACGGAGGAUUCAAGCGUUAUCCGGAUUUAUUGGGUUUAAAGGGGUCGUAGGCGGUCGGAUAAGUUAGAGGUGAAAUCCCGAGGCUCAACUUCGGAAUUGCCUCUGAUACUGUGCGGCUAGAGAGUAGUUGCGGUAGGCGGAAUGUAUGGUGUAGCGGUGAAAUGCUUAGAGAUCAUACAGAACACCGAUUGCGAAGGCAGCUUACCAAGCUACUUCUGACGUUGAGGCACGAAAGCGUGGGGAGCAAACAGGAUUAGAUACCCUGGUAGUC
rnacentral:rRNA from 1 species